AAAAAAAAAAAAGGGGGGGCCUGCCUACGUCCUCGUCGUUAAUGUGAACGCUUCUGGCAAACUAUUACCAUAAAAUUGGGAGAUAGUAAGGAUUAAGGAAUGGAGACUUAUACACAAGUGAGUACCAGUAGUCACCCAAGGAAAGCUGAGGAGGUGUUUUCAUAAUCUGUUGUGUAACAAACCGCCCCAAAACGUAAGACUUAAAACAACCACCAUUUUACUUGCUCACAGUUCUGCAAUCUGGGCUGGGAUUAGCCCACCCGUUCUGCUGGUCUUGCCAGUGGUCAUAGCAACAAGUGGGGGCUGGUUCCGCUGAAAGAACUGGGUCUCUCUCCCUGUAGUCC
rnacentral:lncRNA from 1 species